rnacentral:rRNA from 1 species
UAAUACAUGCAAGUCGAGCGGAUCUUCAUUAGCUUGCUUACGAAGAUCAGCGGCGGACGGGUGAGUAACACGUGGGCAACCUGCCUGUAAGACUGGGAUAACUUCGGGAAACCGGAGCUAAUACCGGAUAAUCCUUUCCCUCACAUGAGGGAAAGCUGAAAGACGGUUUCGGCUGUCACUUACAGAUGGGCCCGCGGCGCAUUAGCUAGUUGGUGAGGUAACGGCUCACCAAGGCAACGAUGCGUAGCCGACCUGAGAGGGUGAUCGGCCACACUGGGACUGAGACACGGCCCAGACUCCUACGGGAGGCAGCAGUAGGGAAUCUUCCGCAAUGGACGAAAGUCUGACGGAGCAACGCCGCGUGAACGAUGAAGGCUUUCGGGUCGUAAAGUUCUGUUGUCAGGGAAGAACAAGUACCGGAGUAACUGCCGGUACUUGACGGUACCUGACCAGAAAGCCACGGCUAACUACGUGCCAGCAGCCGCGGUAAUAC